ensembl:lncRNA putative GPI-anchored protein PB15E9.01c
AUGAAGAUCCAGAAGCUUUUCCGGAGACUGAGAAAGACAUUGAGAAGGUGCAGUGCUUGUGUGCACCCCAUGGACUACCCUGGUGAGGAAAAUCAGGGCCUUUUGGAACCUGAAGUUGAACAGGCAGAGGACAGCACAGAUGGAGUAUCAGCAGCAACUUCAUCCCCGCUCAGUCUCCCCAACAUGGGUAGAGUAGCAGCGGCAACUUCUGUCCCGAUCAAUCACUCCAACACAGCUGGAGUAGCAGAGGCAACUUCUGCCCCACUUGGUCUCUCCAAGACUGAUGGAGUAGCAGACAUAACUCCUGCCCCACUCCAUCUCUCUAACACGGAUAGACCAGAAGCGGCAGAUAAUGCCACGUUGGAUGACAACUGCAUAGAUAGAACAGCAGCAGCAAUUUCUGACCGGAUCAGUCUCUCUAACACCAAUGCAGGAGCAGUGGACACUCCUGCUCUGCUUGGUGUCUCCAGCACGGGAGGAGAAGCAGCGGCAGUUUCUGCCCCGUUCAAUGACUCCAAUCCAGCUGGAGUAGCAGAGGCAACUUCUGCCCCACUUGGUCUCUCCAAGACUGAUGGAGUAGCAGACAUAACUCCUGCCCCACUCCAUCUCUCUAACACAGGUAGACCAGAAGCGGAAGAUUAUGCCCUGUUUGAUGACAACUGCAUAGAUGGAACAGCAGCAGCAAUUUCUGACCUGAUCAGUCCCUCUAAGACCAAUGGAAUAGCAGUGGACACUUCUGACUUGCUUGGUCUCUCCAACACAGAUGGAGAAGCAGCAGCAGUUUAUGCCCCAUUCAAUGACUCCUACACAGCUGGAGCAGCAGAGGCAACUUCUGCCCCACUCGGUCUCUCCAACACCAAUGUACUGGAAGCGGCAGUUUAUGCCCCAUUUGAUGACAACUACAUAGAUGGAAUAGCGGCGGCAGUUUCUGCCCUGUUUGGUCUCUCUAACACCAAUGCAGGAGCAGCAGACACUUCUGCCCCACUUGAUCUCUCCAACAGAGAUGAAGCAGCAGUGGUAACACCUGCCCCGAUCAAUCACUCCAAUACAGCUGGAGUAGCAGAGGCAACUUCUGCCCCACUCCAUCUCUCCAACACCGAUACACUGGAAGCGGCAGUUUAUGCCCCAUUUGAUGACAACUAUGUAGAUGGAGUAGCAGCAGCAAUUUCUGCCCUGUUUGGUCUCUCUAACACCGAUGCAGAAGCAGCAGACACUUCUGUCCCGCUUGGUCUCUCCAACAGAGAUGAAGGAGCAGUGGGAACACCUGCCCCGAUCAAUCACUCCAAUACGGCUGGAGUAGCAGAGGCAACUUCUGCCCCACUCCAUCUCUCCAACACUGAUGCAGUGGAAGCGGCAGCUUAUGCCCCAUUUGAUGACAACUAUGUAGAUGGAGUAGCAGCGGCAAUUUCUGCCUUGUUUGGUCUCUCUAACGCCGAUGCAGGAGCAGCGGGCACUUCUGUCCCACUUGGUCUCUCCAACACAGAUGGAGAAGCAGCGGCAGUUUUUGCCUUGUUUGAUGACUCCUACACAGAUGAAGCGACUUCUGCACCACUCCAUCUCUCCAACAGCGACGUACUGGAAGCGGCAGUUUAUGCCCCAUUUGAUGACAACUACAUAGAUGGAGUAGCGGCAAUUUUCUGCCUUGUUUGGUCUCUCUAACACCAAUGGAAUAUCAGUGGACACUUCUGACCCGCUUGGUCUCUCCAACACAUAUGGAGAAGCAGCAGCAGUUUAUGCCCCAUUCAAUGACUCCUACACAGCUGGAGCAGCAGAAGCAACUUCUGCCCCACUCCAUCUCUCCAACACCGAUGUACUGGAAGCGGCAGUUUAUGCCCCAUUUGAUGACAACUACAUAGAUGGAGUAGCAGCGGCAAUUUCUGCCCUGUUUGGUCUCUCUAACACCAAUGGAAUAUCAGAGGACACUUCUGUCCCGCUUGGUCUCUCCAACACAGAUGGAGAAGCAGCGGCAGUUUUUGCCUUGUUUGAUGACUCCUACACAGAUGAAGUAGCAGAAGCAACUUCUGCCCCACUCCAUCUCUCCAACACCGACGUACUGGAAGCAGCAGUUUAUGCUCCAUUCGAUGACAACUACAUAGAUGGAAUAGCAGAAGCAAUUUCUGACCUGUUUGGUCUCUCUAACACCGCUGCAGUAACAGCAGACACUUCUGCCACGCUUGUUCUCUCCAACAGAGAUGGAGUAGCAGUGGGAACACCUGCCCCGAUCAAUUACUCCAACACGGCUAGCGUAGCAGAGGCAACUUCUGCCAUGUUCGGUCUCUCCAACACGGAUGGAGUAGCAGCAGCAACUUCUGCCCCACUCAGUCUCUCCAACACGGAUGGAGUAGCAGCAGCAGCUUCUGCUUCGCUCGGUCUGACUGAAACCUUUGCAAGUCACUCAAGUUCAGCAAAUGAUGUUGAGCAGCGACUUAAGAGACAGCUAGAGCUAUGGUCUUCUUGGGUAGGAAACCUCUUUGGUGUCACACUUUCCUUCUUUGUAGAAAUGCAUAGUCUUGCUUCUCAAUAAAGUUCCUCCAUUUCACCA